rnacentral:rRNA from 1 species
GACGAACGCUGGCGGCGUGCCUAAUACAUGCAAGUCGAACGAGAGCGACCGGUGCUUGCACUGGUCAAUCUAGUGGCGAACGGGUGAGUAACACGUGGGUAACCUGCCCAUCAGAGGGGGAUAACAUCCGGAAACGGAUGCUAAAACCGCAUAGGUCUUCGAACCGCAUGGUUUGAAGAGGAAAAGAGGCGCAAGCUUCUGCUGAUGGAUGGACCCGCGGUGCAUUAGCUAGUUGGUGAGGUAACGGCUCACCAAGGCCGUGAUGCAUAGCCGACCUGAGAGGGUGAUCGGCCACAUUGGGACUGAGACACGGCCCAAACUCCUAUGGGAGGCAGCAGUAGGGAAUCUUCCGCAAUGGACGCAAGUCUGACGGAGCAACGCCGCGUGAGUGAAGAAGGUUUUCGGAUCGUAAAACUCUGUUGUUAGAGAAGAACAAGUGCUAGAGUAACUGUUAGCGCCUUGACGGUAUCUAACCAGAAAGCCACGGCUAACUACGUG